rnacentral:lncRNA from 1 species
UCAAAUACCCAUUAAAACCCAAUCAUUCAAGUAAUCCUAAACCCUUGUCUUUCAAUAACUAGCAAAGUAACCCUCAAGUCUAAUUUGUAAAAUAACCAUAAUCCCUAAUUAGUUAAGUAACACAAAACCCUAAUUAGUCAAAGUACACAUAAACCCUAAUUAGUCAAAUACACAUAAAACCCAAUUUGUUAAGUAACCCUAAAUCCCUAAUUUUUCAAAAACCCCUAAACCCUACUUAGUCAAGUAACCCGAAUGAGUCAAG